GGAGGAAGGUGGGGAUGACGUCAAGUCCUCAUGGCCCUUACGGGUUGGGCUACACACGUGCUACAAUGGCGGUGACAGUGGGCAGCUACUUCGCGAGAAGAUGCUAAUCUCUAAAAACCGUCUCAGUUCGGAUUGUACUCUGCAACUCGAGUGCAUGAAGUUGGAAUCGCUAGUAAUCGUGGAUCAGCAUGCCACGGUGAAUACGUUCCCGGGCCUU
rnacentral:rRNA from 1 species